CGUAACUAUAACGGUCCUAAGGUAGCGAAAUUCCUUGUCGGGUAAGUUCCGACCCGCACGAAAGGCGUAACGAUUUGGGCACUGUCUCAACGAGAGACUCGGUGAAAUCAUAGUACCUGUGAAGAUGCAGGUUACCCGCGACAGGACGGAAAGACCCCGUGGAGCUUUACUGUAGCCUGAUAUUGAAAUUCGGCACAGCUUGUACAGGAUAGGUAGGAGCCUUUGAAACGUGAGCGCUAGCUUACGUGGAGGCGUUGGUGGGAUACUACCCUAGCUGUGUUGGCUUUCUAACCCGCACCACUUAUCGUGGUGGGAGACAGUGUCAGGCGGGCAGUUUGACUGGGGCGGUCGCCUCCUAAAAGGUAACGGAGGCGCUCAAAGGUUCCCUCAGAAUGGUUGGAAAUCAUUCAUAGAGUGUAAAGGCAUAAGGGAGCUUGACUGCGAGACCUACAAGUCGAGCAGGGUCGAAAGACGGACUUAGUGAUCCGGUGGUUCCGCAUGGAAGGGCCAUCGCUCAACGGAUAAAAGCUACCCCGGGGAUAACAGGCUUAUCUCCCCCAAGAGUUCACAUCGACGGGGAGGUUUGGCACCUCGAUGUCGGCUCAUCGCAUCCUGGGGCUGUAGUCGGUCCCAAGGGUUGGGCUGUUCGCCCAUUAAAGCGGUACGCGAGCUGGGUUCAGAACGUCGUGAGACAGUUCGGUCCCUAUCCGUCGUGGGCGUAGGAAAUUUGAGAGGAGCUGUCCUUAGUACGAGAGGACCGGGAUGGACAUACCUCUGGUGUACCAGUUGUCGUGCCAACGGCAUAGCUGGGUAGCUAUGUAUGGACGGGAUAAGUGCUGAAAGCAUCUAAGCAUGAAGCCCCCCUCAAGAUGAGAUUUCCCAACUUCGGUUAUAAGAUCCCUCGAAGAUGACGAGGUUAAUAGGUUCGAGGUGGAAGCGUGGUGACACGUGGAGCUGACGAAUACUAAUCGAUCGAAGACUUAAUCAA
rnacentral:rRNA from 1 species